UAGGGAAUUUUGCGCAAUGGGCGAAAGCCUGACGCAGCGACGCCGCGUGAGCGAUGAAGGCCCUCGGGUCGUAAAGCUCUGUGGAGAGGAAAGAAUAAGUACAGGAUAAUACCCUGUGCGAUGACGGUACCUCUUUAGCAAGCACCGGCUAACUCUGUGCCAGCAGCCGCGGUAAGACAGAGGGUGCAAACGUUGUUCGGAAUUACUGGGCGUAAAGCGCGUGUAGGCGGCUGGGCAAGUCGGAUGUGAAAUCCCAUGGCUCAACCAUGGAAGUGCAUUCGAAACUGCUUAGCUGGAGUCCUGGAGAGGAAGGCGGAAUACUCGGUGUAGAGGUGAAAUUCGUAGAUAUCGAGUGGAACAUCAGUGGCGAAGGCGGCCUUCUGGACAGUGACUGACGCUGAGACGCGAAAGCGUGGGGAGCAAACAGG
rnacentral:rRNA from 1 species